GAGGAGGAACGAGGAGGGAAGAGGGGUGACACAAGCCUCUUUUGGGGGUCCCUGCUCGCCUCAGGCAACUUCCUUGCGGAGCUCAGCAGUUUCCCCCCUCGACCUCAGCCAAAUAUCAGUCCUGCAGAGUGGGAUUCUUCCCACAGGAGCGAAGGAAUUUCAGGAGAUCA